AGUUCUUUCAAAAAUAGUUCAUAGGUCAUAAUCCAAUGUCCAAAUAUCAUAUUCAGGACGUACCAGCGUAACUGGGACCUCGGUCUUGCGACUCAAACUUCCUCUGAUGAAGCCUAAGCUGAUCUGAGAUGACAGAAUCAGGACAGAAGGGUCUUUUUAUACAGUGUCCUAGUAUCCACUUGACCAUACAGUUCUGGUUAAACAAUAGGCUUUUGAUAUAACCUUUUGCUUUCUAAUACUACCAAUAAUUAGUUACACAAAUUAACAUAGGGCAAUUUAUCCAUUAGGCAGUCUAUUACAAACUUCAAAGAGAC